rnacentral:rRNA from 1 species
CCUACGGGAGGCAGCAGUGGGGAAUAUUGCACAAUGGGGGAAACCCUGAUGCAGCGACGCCGCGUGAGUGAAGAAGUAUUUCGGUACGUAAAGCUCUAUCAGCAGGGAAGAAAAACCGGCCUUAGGGCCGCCAGACGGUACCUGACUAAGAAGCCCCGGCUAACUACGUGCCAGCAGCCGCGGUAAUACGUAGGGGGCAAGCGUUUUCCGGAUUUACUGGGUGUAAAGGGAGCGUAGACGGCAGCGCAAGUCUGGAGUGAAAGGCCGGGGCCCAACCCCGGAACUGCUGUGGAAACUGGGGAGCUGGAGUGCAGGAGGGGUAAGCGGAAUUCCUAGUGUAGCGGUGAAAUGCGUAGAUAUUAGGAGGAACACCAGUGGCGAAGGCGGCUUACUGGACUGUAACUGACGUUGAGGCUCGAAAGCGUGGGGAGCAAACAGGAUUAGAUACCCCGGUAGUC